rnacentral:rRNA from 1 species
UNACUACACGACGCCCGUGUUAUGCCUUUAGCAUUGNACGGUUGUUUCNUAGAGUCUCAACACUGGCCGCUCAGUUGUGACAGCCUUACACAUGCAGUCGAACGGCAGCACGGACUUCGGUCUGGUGGCGAGUGGCGAACGGGUGAGUAAUGUAUCGGAACGUGCCCAGUAGCGGGGGAUAACUACGCGAAUGCGUAGCUAAUACCGCAUACGCCCUACGGGGGAAAGCAGGGGAUCGUAAGACCUUGCACUAUUGGAGCGGCCGAUAUCGGAUUAGCUAGUUGGUGGGGUAACGGCUCACCAAGGCGACGAUCCGUAGCUGGUUUGAGAGGACGACCAGCCACACUGUGUGACUGAGACACGGCCAGACUCCUACGGGAGGCAGCAGUGGGGAAUUUUGGACAAUGGGGGAAAACCCUGAUCCAGCCAUCCCGCGUUGUGCGAUNGAAGGCCUUCGGGUUUGUAAAGCCACUUUUUGGCAGGAAAGAAACGUUCAUUGGNGUUAAUACCCCGUGAAACUGACGGUACUGUGCAAAAUAAGCACCGGCUAACUAACGUGCCACANCCGCGGAAUACGUAGGUGCAAACGUAAUCNGAAAUACUGGGCCGUNAAACGUGCCCAAGCNGGCCGCAACAACAACNUUNAACCAAACUAACUUGGACCGCUUUUAACUUCCGGGCCUAAAUGNUGUNUCCACAGGGACGGNGGAAAUUCCCUUUAGCAUAAAUCGCUAAAUUGCGGAGAACACCCAUGAGAAAGCNCNCUCCNGGGAAAAACUNNAGCUCUAGCACAAGGNUGGGGAGCACGGUUAAAACCGNUAUAUCACCCCAACAAUUCACUAUUGCCGCCUGUGACACACAGUAACACCGGGAACCGCAAAACAGCAGANAGGCCCGGGNUUUNUUACACGCACNACUGUUGUGA